rnacentral:lncRNA from 1 species
CUCAGUUGCUUUUGCUAAUGAGACAAACCGCUCUGUUCCAUAAAUUACAGCAGGGUGGAGAAUGAAGCAGAAAUUACUGUGUUUUUCUCCUUAUCUGCAGAAAAGGUCACUGAAGGAGAGAAGUUCUGCAUGUGAUACAGUGAUUGAACCUACAGACACCACGGAUCAGGAAAAGUGCCCAUAGGAAGGCAGAGCAUGGGGUGGAAUCAGACAGCUGUGUGUGGUAUGGACAGAGGUAAGCUGAGCAGGGAGAGCCACAGGAAAGUGUCCACAGCCUGAGAGGGGCUGAAACUGGUAAGACUGCUCUGAAAAUAUACCCAUGGAACUGGCCAAGGACUCCUCACAGAGUGUUCCAACAUACAUAUUUUUAACUUUUUAUUUAUUUAUUUUUGGUGGCAAAGAGGAAAGUUCAAGGAACACAGUGAUAAAAGAAUGUGUGUGAUUGGAUGUCUUGAGAGAACACAUCUUCACCAAUGUAACCAUACUUUCUGUGCAACAACUUGGACUUCCCCAGCAAACCCAAUGAGAUUCAUCAGAACAACCAAAAGUUUUAAUUUAAAAGGAAGAGGACUUCGUGCAACGAAAAUGUCUGUGCCAAGGACAGUGAAAGGAUCUAGUCCACGGACAUGUUCAGGCAUCGUGAGGAAAGCUAUUGUUUCAAGCACAUGUCAAGAUGAUGAGGAGGGGGUGUAAUGAAUUACAGAAUAACCAGUGUUUAUGCCUGAGAGGUCCUCGGGCCGUUCUGUACCUCCUGGAAAUUGUUUAUGUGCACCAGUCCUGUGAUCAUGGGGCUAUGAUUAGCGGAUGCUGACAGUGUGACAGCAAAGGAAGGCAUGAAUCACCACUGCUCCAUAUAGGAGAGAACUGCGCAAAAUCAACUUUGUCUUAGAUAUGGACUUCUUUUUCCACAUUCUGCCUAAAUUCUGGUGACUUGGUGAUAUAGGACAGGAUGGGGAAAGAGUGGGGAACUGAUGAGGAAUGAUUUCCACUAUUUUGGGAAAUCCUACUUCUUCCUAUACUCUAAUCAUUUGGGGGAAUUAUAAUUUCUUAAUUUGUACCUGACAACUAAUAAUCUCCCACCUUUUCUCCAUAUUGAUCCAUCGAUUUUCUUUGCAAUUAAGCCCCCCAAAGUGCCCAUCACAGCAUUGUUCAGAUGGUUUUAUCAAGAGGAACACAUUCAUUUCUCCUCACCCCAUACUUUCCCUGCAUCAAGAAUUCAGGAUAGGAAUGCCACCGGUCAAGGCAAGGUAAAUAAAAGUUGGUGACUUUUCCA